rnacentral:rRNA from 1 species
AUUGAACGCUGGCGGCAUGCCUUACACAUGCAAGUCGAACGGCAGCACGGGAGCAAUCCUGGUGGCGAGUGGCGAACGGGUGAGUAAUAUAUCGGAACGUGCCCAGUCGUGGGGGAUAACGCAGCGAAAGCUGUGCGAAUACCGCAUACGAUCUAUGGAUGAAAGCGGGGGAUCGCAAGACCUCGCGCGAUCGGAGCGGCCGAUAUCAGAUUAUGUAGUUGGGGGGGUAAAGGCUCACCAAGCCGACGAUCUGUAGCGGGUCUGAGAGGACGACCAGCCACACUGGAACUGAGACACGGUCCAGACUCCUACGGGAGGCAGCAGUGGGGAAUUUUGGACAAUGGGCGCAAGCCUGAUCCAGCAAUGCCGCGUGCAGGAUGAAGGCCUUCGGGUUGUAAACUGCUUUUGUACGGAGCGAAAAGGCUCUCUCUAAUACAGGGGGCUCAUGACGGUACCGUAAGAAUAAGCACCGGCUAACUACGUGCCAGCCGCCGCGGUAAAAC